GAUGAAGAACGCAGCGAAAUGCGAUAAGUAAUGUGAAUUGCAGAAUUCAGUGAAUCAUCGAAUCUUUGAACGCACCUUGCGCUCCUUGGUAUUCCGAGGAGCAUGCCUGUUUGAGUGUCAUGAAAUUCUCAACCUUUUCAGCUUUCUUUGUUGAUCAGGCUUGGAUGUGGGAGUAUGCGGGCUUCUCAGAAGUCGGCUCUCCUGAAAUGCAUUAGCGGGACCUUUGUUGCCUGGCUUUGGUGUGAUAAUUAUCUACGCCAUUGUAGUCAAGCAGCUUAAAAUGAGGUUUCAGCUUCUAACCGUCUCCCCUGAGACAACUUUUUGACAAAUUGACCUCAAAUCAGGUAGGACUACCCGCUGAACUUAAGCAUAUCAAUAAGCGGAGGA
rnacentral:misc_RNA from 1 species